AACGAACGCUGGCGGCACGCCUAACACAUGCAAGUCGAACGCCUCGUAGCAAUACGGGGAGUGGCGGACGGGUGAGUAACGCGUGGGAACCUGCCCAGGGGUGCGGGACAACUUCGGGAAACCGGAGCUAAUACCGCAUGAUGCCUUUCAGCGAUGGGAGGCUAAAGAUUUAUCGCCUUUGGAGGGGCCCGCGUCGGCUUAGGUAGUUGGUGGGGUAACGGCCUACCAAGCCUUCGAUCCGUAGCUGGUCUGAGAGGAUGGCCAGCCACACUGGGACUGAGACACGGCCCAGACUCCUACGGGAGGCAGCAGUGGGGAAUCUUGGACAAUGGGGGCAACCCUGAUCCAGCGAUGCCGCGUGGGUGAUGAAGGCCUUCGGGUUGUAAAGCCCUUUCGGCGGGGACGAUAGUGACGGUACCCGCAGAAGAAGCCUCGGCUAACUCCGUGCCAGCAGCCGCCGUAACAC
rnacentral:rRNA from 1 species